UCUCCGUUGGUGAACCAGCGGAGGGAUCAUUACUGGAAUCGCAAGAUCCCACAACCCCUGUGAACCUACCGAAACGUUGCCUCGGCGGGCGCCCGGCCCUGCGCCGGGCGCUGAGCCCGCCGGCGGACCCCUACUCUUGUCUCUGCAGCGUGGACUCUCAGAGGCCCAGAAAACAAGUAGAAACUUUCAACAACGGAUCUCUUGGCUCUA
rnacentral:misc_RNA from 1 species